CAAGAAUCGAGCAAGAGGUAAUCUAUUUUUUUCGCUCGAGCAAAAUGUCAGCGAGAAGCGAGGGACAGUGAGCAGUCAUCUGUAUUUUUAUUAUAACUUUCUCAUCCAAUGUCCGAUUGAGAUAAUUCAAGUUGCAUUCGAAAGCUAACGCAAAGGUCUAUGAUUAUUAUUGAAAUAGCCUUGUCCAAAUUCCAACGUUUUGUAUGUGAAAAAGUCAUUGCAAUUUAUGACUAAAAAUUUGAAACAUAUUUUGUGCGGCUCUUUGAUAUCAUUUAGACUUCCAAUUGCAUUCCGAUGAUCUUGUGUUAUCUUCUUGGACAUCUUGGCCUCCUUCAAAAACUUGAACACUAAUUUACCUCAUCUAUACAAAUUUCACCCUAAGUCCUUGACUUUUACACCAAUGUUCAAUUAAGCCCCUGACUUUUACAAUUAUACAAUUUUGUCCGUUUUGUACACAGAAUCGCCAAUUACACUUUUAGACCUAACAAACUCCCCCUUUGGCAUUUUGUGACAAAACUCUACAAAUGAAGUCAGGACAAUAAAAAGUAAAUCAUGACUUGACAACCAAAAACUGAGCUACCCAGUAAACCUAAUCACUGAGUCUUGCAUUCCUUUGUGUGCUUGUUUCCUGAAAUCUACAAACUCAUAUACCCAGUGUAAAAGCACGUGAUACAGAAAAUAUAAAAAUUAAUUAAAGCUCUUAAUCACAAAUCAACAUAACAGUUUGAGACGUAAUAUUGAUGCUAAUCAAAACACCAACACCACUAAACGUCAGAACUCAAACAGAUGAAUGUGAUAUGGAAUGCAAUGCUCCCCCUUACUGCAAGCUUUUAUGUUUUUAUGCAGUAGGUAAAUGUAUCAAUGUUUCUCCCCAACGACCCCUAGACAUAGCAAUGCAAUGUAAGUACUCCCCCUAUGUGUAUGCUCUUUUACAUGUUUUUUUCCUUUUUUUUUUCUCUCUCCCUUCCCUCCCUCAGUUAUACCUUUCUCUCCCCUUUUUUGUCACAAAUGCUGAAGGGAAUCAUAUGAAGAACAAGCUGAGUCACUUGUACUUUUUACUAAUCACUGCCAGUAAGUAUAUUCUCAUACUAAUGAAAGUCAAACCAUGUAAUGUGUAAUAGGACGUAUACUUAUUAUUUUUACUUACCUCCCCCUUACUAUGACUUUUAUAUUUUUCAGAUUUUCAUAUUAUUCCAGCUCUUCAUAUUUUUCUUAUUUUUUCGGCUCAUUAAUUUUUCAUCAUAAGUGCAGGUUCUUCUCCAUGAGGCGACUAAAAUGACCCCUGCAGCGAGCUUUAGAUCGAUUAACCCAACUCAGUUGACCAUAGGCACCAGGUUUUAAGAGACCCGGCAGACUUAAUUGCUCGAGUUAAAUAUGUCCUGAAGAAGAACAUAAAGAUAUGAACAUUUAAAAUUGGAGGAAAUUUUUGAGUUAAGGUCUACGGAAAUUGGUCAAUUCAUGUUCAAAGUCACCCCAUCAACAUGUGAUAGCCAUCCCAAAUCUCACACACGCGGUAGCGUCCCACUAACAAAUUCAUAGUGUGUGCAGUGCAGAUAGUACAUGAAGACACUUAUACAUAUUAAUCUAACUAGACCUAACCAAGCAAUGAAAAUUAUUCUACAACUUAUCAACUUUAGCUCCUACAUGAUACAACGUGCAAGCUCUAAGUCAUGUGUCAUGCUAUAAAAAUUUCCAUAACCAAUUAUUUUUGUCCUUUUCAGUUUUUCAAAUUUUCAAUAUUUUUAUGUUUUCCGUUUUUCCUAAAAUGAAUGUUCCACACACAAAAUAAAAUAAAGUCAAACUCACAAAGACAAAAAUAAACAUGCAUGCGUCAAAACUCGUAGGUGAAAAUGCACAUGCAUGAAAAUUAGCAAAAUAAAAACAAACAAUAGACAUGUGAUGCAUGCAACAACUAUAUGUCAAUUAAGAGCCAUGCAUGAUAAAAAAAUACCUAACCAAGUAGGUAUAUAAGUGCUCUUUUCUUUAAGAGCACCACGAUCUCUAACCAAAUCUGGGAGAUCACUUUUCUUCCCCCAAAUCUGUCUAGAGCGAGGAUUGUUUCCAGACAGUUGUGUCACCAAUUGAGUCAAACGAUUCACUUGAUCUGUAAGGAAUCCAAUCUGACCAACAGACAUCUGAUUUUUGUUCUUUUUCAAGCUCAAGACUUUCCUAUUGUUCAGGUAGUGAUGAUACUUAGGGUGGAUGUGUCUUAACUCUCCA
rnacentral:lncRNA from 1 species